rnacentral:rRNA from 1 species
UACGUAGGGGGCGAGCGUUGUCCGAAGUUACUGGGCGUAAAGCGCACGUAGGCGGCCGGAUAAGUUGCAUCUAAAAGGCGACAGCUCAACUGUCGAGUGCGGUGCAAGACUGUCUGGCUUGAGGCAAGCAGAAGAGUGUGGAACUCCGAGUGUAGCGGUGGAAUGCGUAGAGAUUCGGAAGAACACCCAUGGCGAAGGCAGCACUCUGGGCUUGAGAAGAUAAGGGAGCAAUCCCUUAUUCCUGACGCUGAGGAGCGAAAGCCAGGGGAGCGAACGGG